rnacentral:rRNA from 1 species
UAAGUAGGGGGCAAGCGUUAUCCGGAUUUAUUGGGUUUAAAGGGUGCGCAGGCGGUCUGUUAAGUCAGCGGUCAAAGCCCGGGGCUCAACCCCGGCCCGCCGUUGAAACUGACGGUCUUGAGUGGGCGAGAAGUAUGCGGAAUGCGUGGUGCAGCGGUGAAAUGCAUAGAUAUCACGCAGAACCCCGAUUGCGAAGGCAGCAUACCGGCGCCCUACUGACGCUGAGGCACGAAAGUGCGGGUAUCGAACAGG